CUGAUGAGUCCGUGAGGACGAAACGAGUAAGCUCGUC
rnacentral:misc_RNA from 5 species